rnacentral:lncRNA from 1 species
UUGUCUCUGUUUAAUUGAUAGCCUUAUGAUGUAUAUAACUGAUUUGCUUGAGUGAAUGUAUGUAUUUGAGUAACUCACCACCCUUAUUGAUAGAACGAAUGUUCGUGUAUGCUUGUUUGAAUAAAUGUGCUAAAUUGAUUGAAUCGAGUUAUAUGACUAUAAUGAUAUGUAUAUGAUGAUGUGUUGGAUGAGAGCUUAGAUUGUAGUACACUUAUCUAUGUU